rnacentral:lncRNA from 1 species
CAGAUCAUUCUUAUGGUAUGCAAUUAGAAACACCAAAAAAGGUAUGUAUUGUGUUAAUUUUUAGGUCAUUUUGCCAAGAUGUAGUAUCUAAUUUUCAUCUUAUUAAAUGCAAGGAUUUCAUUUAUGAUUGUGUUGGUUCAAUUAUUCUCCUGGGAAUGAAUUUUCUUUGUGGUUUUGCCAAUUACUGCAUGACAAGCAUAUAGAAAAUUGUAAUUUUCAAAGAAUAUUGGAAUUUCUGUUUCCCCUGUACCCACUAAUCCCAAGAAAAUUGGUAUCCAACGAAUAAUAAUAAAGCCACAGCAUUUACCUUUGCUGAAAAAAAAACGAGUGCUCUUUGCUAAAUAUGACAUAGACCAAGGUGAGCAGCACAGACAGGCUCAUUAUAGUUCAGUAUGUUUUUUCUUUUUUCUUUUAAGGAGUUGGGUAUGGUAGAAUUGAAUUUUGGAACGUGUUACGUGGCAAUUAUAUAUCCAGGCAUGUCACCAGGAGUUGUUUCUAUUUGGUCAUCCUCUGUAUUUUGCUUCACCUGUCAGCAAAACACUGCAAGCACUGCAAACAUGUUCAGAUCUACCUAAACAAGUGUGAAGAAGAUGAAGUACCUGAUUAUAUUUAUAAGCUUUUGGAACUUCUUAAUGAUCAUCCCAGAAAGAAGACCUACAUUUAUGAAACCUUAUCAAAAAACUUGGUAGAAUUCCACCUCCCUGAACAUUUAAGGCAGCCAUAUCUUGAAGUAAACCAGCUGAAAGAAGAAAACAUUUUUCAAAUGUUUCCUGAUGAAAUUUCUAUUCCUAUUUGUGACAGAUGUCACAGUCCUUGGGAGAACACCUGCUUCAAACAAAAUAAAGAUGAAAUUCCAUUGUUUUGCAGAUAUGAGAUCCACAAGACCAAUGGUAAUAUAUUGUAUAAUGUAGGAUUUAAAUUUGAUCAACGAUGAAAUAUCAAUUUUAUACUUUAAAAAGAACAACAAUAAUACCCAGUACAUAUAAUCUAGCCUCAGAUUUCAUUUGAGAAUUGCAAUGUAUUAUAAUUUUUAUGACUGCCAAUGAUAUAAUUUUCCACCAGACACCAAAUAAAGGUUGUAGUUCAAUGACUAAUCAACAAUGAACAAAUCUAAGAAUCAUAACAAGCCACUUUAGGCUCUGCAUGACGUGACAGAUGAAAAUAAACUGAAAAUAGAAAAAUCAUAUGCGCCCAAAAUGAAAUAUUUGGAACUUUUGUAUAUUCACCCUUUUUAUUAAAAAUGUAUAAUAUGUUGCAAUGAUAUAAGAAUUUGAACCUGUCAUUAUCUAACUAUUUAUCUUUUUAUUUUGUUCUUGUAGUCUAUGGAAAGAAAUGUUCCAAAUGUGACAAUCAGCUCAUUUUUGAUGGCAGUGAAUCCUGCAUUUUGAACAUGGAAUCAUUUCUUGUACAUCAUAGUGUAUUGCGUGAUUACAUGCUUCAUUUCUUACAUGCAAGGUAUUUUUAAUGAGUUUUAAAUACCUAUGUUUAAAAUUAUGGCUAUAUGUAGAUUACUGUAUGGUUUUUGAUUCUUCAUAUAUAGUCUGUACAAGUGAAUCCUGAAAUAACUUGAUAAAAUCUUUUCUCAAUUGAAGUCAAAAUGCAUUGUCUUUGCACUGUUGUUUAUGAUAUUUAUUAAUUUUUUUUCAAAUUACCACAAGGUUUCUUUUUGUCAAUAUUUCAAUUUGAGUCCAUUUAAGAAAUUAUUCUCACUUUUUCAUAUUUUUUCAUGUUUUAUCUGAUAAAUGGACUAAGUUUAUUUACAGUUAAUAUCAAGUAGAUUCAUUGUUAGGUUCAAGUUUGUUACACAUUAUUUACUUAGUCAAAUCUUUAUACAAUUUUAUGAAACUUUUUUAAGAGUAAUGAGAGACAAAGUAAUAAACGAAGUUUAAAAUAUUUUACUAAUAAAUGAACUCACUUUACUUUACAAGACUCGAAAAAAACUUACAUUUUUUUUCAACUAUUGACACUAUUUGUACUGCCUACUGAUGAGUCCCAAGUACAAAUGGUUAUUUAUUCAUAUGGAUGUAAAGGGACGAAACUCAGAAGGCCUAAAGCGACUAUUAAUUGCAAUUGUUUGGUAAUAUCUGAUUAUAUAUAUAUAUAAAGGAUAUAAAAUUUUACUAAAUUUUAUUUGAAAUUUGUUCAAAUUUUCUUUUACAUUUUAACAACCAGGCCUUGAGAGUCUAGGCAGAAAAUAUGUUCAGGGAUUUAAUUAAGAUACUAGUACACUAAAAAGUAUUUGUACUGUACACAGAAAAGUUAUGUAUUGUUAUCAAUUUACCUUUGUUCUAAAAAAAAAAACAUAAGUUUUAAAAUCCCACCACAAAACCACUUUUCAAUUGAAACUUAUUAAACUGGACAUGAUUCUUGAAAGAAUGGUACUUUAAAUAUCUGAAAUCUUUUGUUAGAAAUUUUAUUAACAAUUAGAACUUUUCAUGCAUUUGAUUACUGGCAGACACUAACUGAUACAUAUUUGCCAGCCCUGCUGCUUAAAUAAAUUGACGACAGAAGGGUUUUUUUUUAUGGGGAAGGGGGGAGAGAAAAUGAGUUCAAGUGAAUUGAUUUAGAGGCUAGAAUACAUCUUGAUGGCAUGUAUUAGAGUGGUAUAAAAGUGAAUAGGGCUCAAUUUCUUAAUAAAUGCACUACAGUCUUCAAUUUUGUUAAUGUAACUAGUAAGCGAAGUAAGCUGUUAACAGGGUGUAUUUUAGUAAAAUAUUGUCCGUCGUCAACAUGUCGGAUAUUAACUCAAAAACACUUUAACCAAUUUGCAUAAAACUUUGAGAAGUACUUGAAACAAGGAGUUAUUUGAAUCUGGAAUGAUUUUGAAUUCUGGAAAAUUGAUUGGAAAUGUAUAAUGAAAAACUUAACCAACUAAAUAGGGUAAGCCAUGUAUGCAUGGCUAAGGUUAAUUUUACUUUCACUAUCAUUUCAGUAUGAACAAACUAAACCCUGUUUGCCAUGUGUGCAUGGCUAACCCUUUUUAGUUCGAUUAGUUUCCAUCAUACAUUUCUCCUCAAUUUUCCAGAAUUAAAAUUUAUUCCAAUACCAAAUAAUUCCUUGUUUUGAACUUUAUUCUUUGAAAUUGUGACAGGCAUAUUAUGCUCUCAUGGUGCAACUGUUUAUUUGUUUUAUUCCAUAGGUGUACCAUGUAUGCAUAUUACAAGGUAUGGUCUGACCAUAUGAAGCAAAUGGGAUAUAAAGAUUUUGAAAAGAUGAUGACUUACUGCAAGUUUAGGCAUUCCUGGUAUGCCUUUCUUAGUCUUUUAAAUAUUGACUAUAACCUUGGCUUCCAAUGCACAGAAUGUGGGGACACUCCUGAUACUAUAGUUUGUGAUGCUACAUCAUUGUCCUUCCGCAAAACAUUUGUGAAGUGGGAAUCUCAACCAAAUGACUGUACUAUUUUCAGUCCUUUAUGUCAAUCCACAGG